rnacentral:rRNA from 1 species
GCCAUGAGAAUAAAUAUCCUAAAGGCACCAGAUCCUGUCUGAUCUUGGAAGCUAAGCAGAACCAUUUCUGGUUUGUAUUUCAGUGGGAGAUUGCCAAUGAAUACCAUGUGCUGUAGGCU